rnacentral:rRNA from 1 species
GACGAACGCUGGCGGCGUGCUUAACACAUGCAAGUCGAACGGUGAUGCUCCAGCUUGCUGGAGUGGAUCAGUGGCGAACGGGUGAGUAACACGUGAGCAACCUGCCCCUGACUCUGGAAUAAGCGCUGGAAACGGCGUCUAAUACUAGAUACGAGAAGGGUCCGCAUGGGCACUUUCUGGAAAGUUUUUCGGUUGGGGAUGGGCUCGCGGCCUAUCAGCUUGUUGGUGAGGUAAUGGCUCACCAAGGCGACGACGGGUAGCCGGCCUGAGAGGGCGACCGGCCACACUGGGACUGAGACACGGCCCAGACUCCUACGGGAGGCAGCAGUGGGGAAUAUUGCACAAUGGGCGAAAGCCUGAUGCAGCGACGCCGCGUGAGGGAUGACGGCCUUCGGGUUGUAAACCUCUUUCAGCAGGGAAGAAGCGAAAGUGACGGUACCUGCAGAAGAAGCACCGGCUAACUACGUG